UACUGGAUCUGAGCCUGACCCAGAACAAGCAGCAUGAUGCUCACGGGGCCAAGCUCCUGAAUGGAAGCCAUUGUCCCAGCCAUGACCUUCCCAGGCCCAGGCCCAGGCCCACCCACGAGGACCUGAACCCUGGCCUGGAAAUACCUUCUGGGCCAUCCGGAGCUCCUGCUUCACAGCCUGGAUCUGGUUGCGGAGGUCACUCAUCUUCAGAUCGGGUGGACUAGACUUCUGGGAAACAGGAUGGGUCCUGCAGCGGCUUUCUGAACUUUCCUUAGUAGCCACAGGCAAAACCGCCUGUGAACGCUAGUGUGAAAGAUAGAUCCCAGAAGACUGGGUCUGGGGAGUUCCAUGGACCCCAGAGGCUCUGGGCAGCCCCGCUGAAAACCACUGGUCAAGGAAACUAGACCUGCACACAGGGCCCAGAAGGCCUGGACUCAUCUGGUCUUCUCAUCUAGGAAACGGCUGCUUCCUCACAGCACCCCCAGGAGGCCAAACAGAGUAACCAGUGUGAGCAGAAUUUGCAAAUUGGGAAUUUACGUAAAACACACAUGCAUCUUUCUUUAAUCUAUAUUUUGGUAUGUCCUUCUGCCGCCUGGCUGUAUGCCAUCCCUCCCCACUGCUGUUGGGAGCCUCUCUGCUCCCCUGCUAAGGUGCUGCUUUGAAUCUGCCCUGCGUUGGGAAGCAACAGUCCCUGCCUGUCAGAUCUUCGGUGCCCUGAGCCCCCUGCUGGCUCUGGUGGGUGGCGGUACAGGAGCCGUGAGAGCAUUUGGGAGCCUGAGGGCACGGAAAGAGCACACCGAUUGGAUCCGGAUCUGAGACCCAGGCGGCGGCAACAACCGUCUCCAAGCCUCGUUUCCUCUUCUGUGAAAGGGGGGCACGUUAUACCAGCCUCCAGGGUACAUAAGAUGCCCGGGAAAACACGUGUCCCGAGGAAUGGAGACUGCAACCCACCACGCACUCUUCCGUCAGAAACCUCCCAGGCUCCCUGCAGCCACAGAAUGAAGUUGGACUUCCUAUUCCAGCUACCAUCAAGGCCUCCCUCCACAGGUGACCCCGCCCCAGCUUUGUUUGGAUGUGUUCCCCUUUUCCUCCUCAGGGGCCCUGGGCUGCAGCCAAACAUUAUCCAGCUGAUGCCCAGCUAACAAACAAAAUAGGAAUAUUGAUGCUUUCCUGCUCUGAGCUUGCACUGCUUCUGCUGGAAGGGCCACCCCCAUCUUCCUGCUCCAGCAAGGCCACUUGAGGAAGCCCUCAUCCAUCCCACCUCCUGGCUGCCU